AACGAACGCUGGCGGCAUGCCUAACACAUGCAAGUCGAACGAGACCUUCGGGUCUAGUGGCGCACGGGUGCGUAACGCGUGGGAACCUGCCCUUAGGUUCGGAAUAACUCCCCGAAAGGGGUGCUAAUACCGGAUCAUGUCUUCGGACCAAAGAUUUAUCGCCUUUGGAUGGGCCCGCGUUGGAUUAGCUAGUUGGUAGGGUAAAAGCCUACCAAGGCGACGAUCCAUAGCUGGUCUGAGAGGAUGAUCAGCCACACUGGGACUGAGACACGGCCCAGACUCCUACGGGAGGCAGCAGUGGGGAAUAUUGGACAAUGGGCGAAAGCCUGAUCCAGCAAUGCCGCGUGAGUGAUGAAGGCCUUAGGGUUGUAAAGCCCUUUUACCCGGGAUGAUAAUGACAGUACCGGGAGAAUAAGCUCCGGCUAACUCCGUG
rnacentral:rRNA from 1 species